rnacentral:rRNA from 1 species
UUAGCCAUGCAUGUCUGAGUAUAAGCAAUUAUACGGCGAAACUGCGAAUGGCUCAUUAUAUAAGUUAUCGUUUAUUUGAUAGCACCUUACUACUUGGAUAACCGUGGUAAUUCUAGAGCUAAUACAUGCUGAAAAUCCCGACUUCGGAAGGGAUGUGUUUAUUAGAUUAAAAACCAAUGCCCCCCCGGGGCUCUCUGGUGAUUCAUGAUAACCUCUCGAAUCGCAUGGCCUUGCGCCGGCGAUGGUUCAUUCAAAUUUCUUCCCUAUCAACUUUCGAUGUUUGGGUAGUGGCCAAACAUGGUUGCAACGGGUAACGGAGGGUUAGGGCUCGGCCCCGGAGAAGGAGCCUGAGAAACGGCUACUACAUCCAAGGAAGGCAGCAGGCGCGCAAAUUACCCAAUCCCGACGCGGGGAGGUAGUGACAAUAAAUACUGAUACAGGGCUCUUUUGGGUCUUGUAAUUGGAAUGAGUACAAUUUAAAUCCCUUAACGAGGAACAAUUGGAGGGCAAGUCUGGUGCCAGCAGCCGCGGUAAUUCCAGCUCCAAUAGCGUAUAUUAAAGUUGUUGUGGUUAAAAAGCUCGUAGUUGAACCUUGGGCCUGGCUGGCCGGUCCGCCUCACCGCGUGCACUGGUCCGGCCGGGCCUUUCCCUCUGUGGAGCCCCAUGCCCUUCGCUGGGCGUGGCGGGGAAGCAGGACUUUUACUUUGAAAAAAUUAGAGUGCUCCAGGCAGGCCUAUGCUCGAAUACAUUAGCAUGGAAUAAUGAAAUAGGACGCGCGGUUCUAUUUUGUUGGUUUCUAGGACCGCCGUAAUGAUUAAUAGGGACAGUCGGGGGCAUCAGUAUUCAAUUGUCAGAGGUGAAAUUCUUGGAUUUAUUGAAGACUAACUACUGCGAAAGCAUUUGCCAAGGAUGUUUUCAUUAAUCAGGAACGAAAGUUAGGGGAUCGAAGACGAUCAGAUACCGUCGUAGUCUUA